GUGGCUGUAGCGCAGUUGGUUAGCGCACAAGAUUGUGGAUCUUGAGGUCGCGGGUUCAAAUCCCGUCAGCCACCCCA
rnacentral:tRNA from 1 species